rnacentral:rRNA from 1 species
GAUGGGAGGCUAGCUUGCUAGAAGAAAUUCAUGGCGGACGGGGUGAGUAACGUAGUAAAGAACUUACCAUAUAGACUGGGAGUAACAGAGGGAAACUUCUGAUAAUACUAGAUAAAGUUAGUAGUAGCAUUACUAAGUAAUGAAAAGGUAGCAAUACGCUAUAUGAGAGCUUUUGCAUCCUAUUAGCUAGUUGGUGGGGUAAAAGCCCCUACCCAAGGCGAUGAUAGGUAGCCGGCCUGAGAGGGUGGACGGCCACAAGGGGACUGAGAUACGGCCCUUACUCCUACGGGGAGGCAGCAGUGGGGAAUAUUGGACAAUGGAGGCAACUCUGAUCCAGCAAUUCUGUGUGUGUGAAGAAGGUUUUAGGACUGUAAAACACUUUUAGUAGGGGAAGAAAGAAAUGACGGUACCUACAGAAGAAGCGACGGCUAAAUACGUGCCAGCAGCCGCGGUAAU